AAAAUGUCUCCCCCGGUCCCCCCGGUUUGGGUCGUGGCGCCGCCGCGGGCUCUGUGAGCCCCGGCGUCGGCGAGCUCCCGGAUCCGAGAUCGGGUGGCCCCCUCGUGUGCUAGCAGUGGUUCCGGGGUGCCGCCUCGGGAUGGGGGAAGCAUAGCGUUUCUUCGAAGCUCCCCCAGCCCCGCGAAGCUGCCGGCUUCCUGCGUCGCCGCCGCUCUGACUCACCUCCUUCCUCCCCGCAGAGACCUGGGUGGCCUCAGCCCUUAGCUGUGGGCCCUCGACUCCGUCCUGCAUCUCCCUCUCAAGGUGUGUUCUCAGGAGCUCUCCGCGCACCAUCUUCGCGUCUGAUUCCAGGACGUUUGCUUGUAAACAGCAAUUUUUGAAACCACCUCUGGGCUGCUGCAGCUGUGAGGUUCUGGGACUUCUGACAAGUUGGCAUAAGUUAUCAGUUCUUACGACGUUAAUCUACUGGGUCUUCGCCUGAAGGUAUAACUGAAUCAAGAGUGCAGGAGAUGAGCUUGCAGGGCUGUGCCGGGAUGAAGAAGAACGAUAAGCCUCGCCCCUGGAGGAACUAUUGAGCUCGCUGCCUGGAAGCCACCGCACACAUCCAGGCCUGCCACACACAGGUUGGGCUGCUGAGCUGGCAUAGAGAGUUUCAGAUAUUUAUUAAUGAUUUCGUGUAUUUAGAGUGGAACGAUUUCCUGGAUAAGUGGAAAAUUGUGCAGGUGGCUUCUGGAAGACCUUCAUUUUAAGCAGCUUUAUAGUGAAACGUUUCAUUUAGAAGUCUGGACCUUCUUCAGUUUGCUGCAAUCUCCGUUCACUGAGUAGAACUUGUAUUGAUUCUUGGGACCCAGUUUGUUCCCGGGUUCUGGAUUGAACGAAUACCAGGCGCAAGACACACAGCACUGCUCCAGUACCUUUGGCUCCACGACAUAGGAAGAGGGGCAUCAAGCUUGGCUGCUUCUUGGAACGUCUCGGAAGAUCUGGCAGAACGUGGUGGCGGCAGAAGCCUAGAGUCUAGAAGGAGGGAACAGAUCUGCAAGGAAGAGAUUCCGCUAAGAGAACAGAUCUUCAGCCCUCUUUCUGCACACAGAAAAGGUAACUGUGAGUUGAGGGAUGUGUUAAAAUUGCCUUAAUUGUGGUCAUUUCACAAUGUGUACGUAUAUCAAAUUGUAUUGUGCACUUUAAGUAUAUACAGUUUCAUUUGUCAAUUAAAAAUAAAGCUGGGAAAAAAUUACAAAUAAACUGUCAAGUAGAUCCAUUGAUGGAUGGUUCUUUUGAGUUCAGCUAUAUCCUUACUGAUUUUCUGCCUACUGGAUCUGUCAGUUACUAAUAGAGGGAGUGUGGAAUCCCUCACGUUAACAGUGGGUUAUCUGUUUCUCUCUGCAUUUUUAUCAGUUCUUGCCUCUUGCAUUGUGACGCUUCGUUGUAAAGUGCAUAUAUUUCAAAGAUUAUUGUGUCUUCUCAGAGAAUUGACCCCCCCUUAUUAUGUAAUACCCUCGUUAUUCCUGGGAAGUUUCCUUGUUCAAAUGCUUUUUGUCUGAAAUUAAUUAUCACUACUCCAGCUUUCGUUUGAUUAGUGUCCGUGGCUACCCCUCUCCCCGCUCUUUUACUCUUAAUAUAUGUGUGUUUUUAUAUUCAAAUUGGGUUUCUUAUAGACAACAUAUAGUCUGGUCUUGUUUAUCAUCUACCCUUACAGUCUCUUCUUUUAAUUGGCGUAUUUAGACCACUCCCAUUUAAAGUGAUUGUUGAUAUAGUUGGAUUUGUAUCUACCAUGUUUGUCAAAAUUUUGUAUUUGUUGCACUUGUUCUUUGUUUUUUUCUUAAUCUUCCUGUUUCUGCCUUCUCUUUUAAUUGAGCAUUUUUUAUUAUUCCAUUUUCUCUUCUCUCUCAGCGUAUCAGUUAUAUUUCUUUUUAACUUUUUAGUGGUUUCCCUAGACCUAGACUGCACAACAUAAAUUUACAACUAAUCUAGGUCCACCUUCAAACAGCACUGCACCACUGUAUGGGCAGUGUGGGUGUAACAGAAUCCCCAGCUCCCCACUCCCACCCCUUCAUAACACUGCUACCGUUUCUUGCACUGACCUACGUACGCGCUAUGAUCACCCGUACAUCGUGGCUGUUAUUCCUUUGAACAGUCGUCCUUUAGAUUAAAUAAGAAAAAUAAAAUACUGUAUUUUAAUCUUCAUUUAUUCCUUCUCUGACACCUCUCCUUUAUUUAUGUAGAUCCACAUUUCUGACCAAUACCAUGUUCCUUCUCUCUGAAGAGCAUCUUUUAACAUUGACUGGUGACAAAAAUUCUCUCAGUUCUGUAAGUCUGAGUGUUACGGAUUGAAUUGUGUCCCCCUGCAAAAUUCAUCUGUCAAAGCCCUAACUCCCUUUAGAAAGGUCAUUGAUGUCCCCUGUGGCUAUAAGGGUGGGGCCUCCCUGCAAUUUGACUGGUGUCCUUGUAGGAAGAGGAAGAGACACCAGGAUGCACGCGCGCAGAGAGGUAAGGCCAUGCGUGAAGAUGGCUCUCUCCAAGCCAAGCAGAGAGGCCUCCCAAAAGGCAACACUAAAGCACCGUGAUCUUUGACUUUCAGUCUCCCGAAGUGUAAGAAAAUCAUUUUUUUGUUGUUUAAGUCACCCCGUUUGUGAUAUUUUGUUAUGGCAGCCCUAGGAAACUACUACACCAAGAAAGUCAUUAUUUUCCCUUACUUCUGAAGGAUGAUUUUUCUGGAUAUAGAUUCGGUUGGUGGGUUUUUUCUUUUAACACUUUAAAUAUUUCAUUCUACUCUCUUCUUGCUUGCAUGAUUUUUAAAGCAAGUCUGAUGUAAUUCUUACCUUUGUUCCUCUCUAGAUAAGGUGUCUUUCUUCUCUGACUUUAAAAGAUUUUUUCUUUGUCUUUGGCUUUAUGCAGUUUGAAUAUGAUAUGCCUAGGGGUGUGUGUGUGUGUGUGUGUGUAUAGAUAUAGAUAUAGAUAUGUAUAUUGGCAUUUAUCCUGCUCGGUGUUCUCUGAGAUUCCUAGAUUUGUGGUGUGGUUUCUGUCAUUAAUUUUAGAAAAAUCCCAGGCAUCAUUAUGUCAAAUAGUUCCUGUUUCUUUCUUUCUUCUGCUUUUGAUAGUCUCAUGAUAUAUAUGCUAUACCUUUUGUAAUUGCCCCACAGUUAUUAGAUAUUCUGUUCUAAUUUUUAUUAUUUUUUUUCUCUUUCAGUUCAGUUUGGGAAGUUUCUGGGGUUUUUUUGUUUUUUUUUUUUAAGAUUUUAUUUAUUUAUUUGAGACAGAGAGAAUGAGAGAGAGAGAGCACAUGAGAGGGGGGAGGGUCAGAGAGAGAAGCAGGCUCCCUGCCGAGCAGGGAGCCCGAUGCGGGACUCGAUCCAGGGACUCCAUCCAGGGACUCCAGGAUCAUGACCUGAGCCGAAAGCAGUCACUUAACCAACUGAGCCACCCAGGCGCCCGGGAAGUUUCUGUUGACGGAUCUUCAAGUGCUCUGAUUCUGUCUCUAGCCCUUUCCAGUCAUCUGAUGGGUCCAUCAGAUGAUGUAUGCUUGAUUUCUGUUACAGUGGUUUCUUUUUCUAGUCUUUCCUUUAUAUUCUUUCUUAGGGUUUCUAUUUCUGUUUACAUUACCUGUCUGUUCUUGCAUGUUGUCCACUUUUCCCACGAAAGCCCUCAGCAUAUUAAUCAUACUUAUUUUUAAUUUCCCUGUCUGAUGAUUUCAAAAUCUCUGCCAUAUCUGAAUCUGGUUCUGACAUCUGCUUUGUCUCUUCAGAUUGUUUCUUCUUUCCUUUUAUCACACCAUGUAGUUUUUUGUUGUUGUUGUUGGAAGCCAGUCGUGAAUUAUCAGGUAUUAGGAAGUAAAUAGGCCUUUAGUAUGACGUUUAUUUUUAUCUAAGAGAUAGGCUGUAUUUACUGUUUUCUGUCUCUGUAGUAUCAGAGGAUUCAGUUUCCACUAGUGUCUUUGUUUUUGUCCCCCAGCAUCUUUCGUUUCCCUAGCAAACACUUCUUCCAUAGAAUUUGAGCCUUGCAGUUCUUCUCGGCUGUAAUCUGUAAUCCACUAUUGUUAGCCAGGAGCCCUGUUGAUGUUUGGUCAGGUCUGGACUGAGGGCACGCAUUCUGUAAUCCUGGGAUUAGGUCUCAGUCUUUUAUUGUACCUGUUCCCCUGGGCUGGGACCUUCUCAGGUGUUUCUCUGUUUUUCCCCCCACCUUAUGCGAAGAGAGAAGGCUCAGGGGACCUGGAGUUUGCUCAUUUCCCUUACCCCGAGUCCAGUAAGGCUUCUCCCUUGCUGGGUAAGCCUUUGUUGUGGAGAAUACUUUUGGCUUCUUUCAAAAUAGUUCUUUCUUGCCUCUCCCUGGCCACACAGGAAGCAAUUUUGCUCCGCUCGGUUAUCAAGAAAAGCUGUUGAGGAUUCUAGGGGCAAACACCAUGAUUGUGGAGGGGGUGGCUACCUUAGGUGGGGCCCCCCAGGAGUUUCAUCUCUCAAGCUAGUCCACAGCUCAUUGAAGCUGCCGUUCAAAUCCUGGUUCAAGUCCUGGUUGCACUCACCAGCGCUUCCUGUCUCAGGGGUGAGGAGUUGUAGUCCCUGCAAUCUGUCAUCUCUGUCAUCGCUGGUUCCUCUAGGUUUGGGGUGCAGCUGGUCCCAUGACCUCAGUACUCUGAUGUCUCCACAAAGAGUCAUUGAUUUUUAAUCUGUUCAUAUUUUUUCUUGUCGUGAAGAUGGGAGUGAAGACUUGUAACAAGCCCUUUCUGUGUUGGAGUAGAAUCUUUCCUUUUAGAUUUUAGACAUUGUUUCUGUUAGCUCUUUGGACAUAUUAAAAUAGCUGAUGAAAGGCUUUAUCUAGUAAUUCCAAUGCCUGUGCUUCCUUGGGACAGUUCUAUUGAUUGCCCUCCCCUCCAUACAUGGGCCAUCCUUUCUUGAUUCUCAUGUGCCUCAUAAAAUUUUAUUAAAAACUGGACAUUUUUGAAUAUCGUCAUGUGGCAACGCUGAGAAUGAGAUUCCUUUCCUGCCGGGCUUCGUUGUGGCUGCCUGUUGCAGUCCAUGUUUAUUUAGGACUUCUCUGAAUUCCGCAAAGACUCUCUUCGUUAUUGUAUAUAGCCCUUGAAAUCUUAGCUCAGUUAGCUCAGUGGUCGGCUAAUGGUGGACAGAGAUUUCAUUGAGUGCCUGGAACAAAUAAAUCUCGCCCUCGUUUCCGAGAGGCUCAGUGUGUGCAUUGCUUUCAUCAUGCAAUCAAACAGUUUACAACUCUGUAUUAACCUUCACUAGCCUCAAGGUCAGCCAGAGUUGAGAAGUUACAGGGCCUUCUCACACUUUUCUUGAGCAUGUACAGUGCCCUAAGCAUGUACUUGGCCUUCUAGAUUCCCAGGAAUAUGUCAGAACUUUUCAAAGCUCCAGUGGACAUGUAGUUGCUCAGCCGAUUCUUUUCAGUUUUUUGGUUAGUCUGUUAUUUCCCUCAAGUGUUAUCUAUUGCCUUAGGCAUUCCCCCCCCAAAAAAACCCCACUUUCCAAUGAAUGUUUUUGGCCAAUGCCGUCAAGAAGAGAGCACUAGAUGAACUCUUAGUUCAAAUAAAGACGAGUCUUUGGAGGAGGGUCUUCCAGUGAUCCAUUAAGUUAAAUAAUUAAUAUUUGGGGAGGCUGAGGCUUUAAAAGAGGACCACUCUGCUCCCUCCUGUACUGCAAACUUGGGCUGUUGUUUUUCAAGGCUCCCACAGAGCUGUGGAGUGGUAGAUGGGACUAGGGUAAUUUAAAAUACCAUAAAGUCUGCUGUUCUUGUUGAGAUUCAGCUGUUUUUUUCUUGAAUAAACACUCCUAGGUUGGGAGCAUAAAGUAGGGCAGAUGUUUUGGAAACCGUUUUUCCAGUAACUCAAACAGUUAAACAUAGAGUUACCAUAUGACCCAGCGAUUCAACGCCUGGGUAUAUACCCCAAGAGCAUGGAAACCAUAUGUUUACACAAAAAUUUUGUGAAUAUACUCAAAACCACUGAAUUACACACUUUAAAAUAUGUGAAAUAUCUUGAUAUAAGUAAGAAUUGAAGUUCUGAUACAUGGAGGAAACGUGGAAACAUGAUGCUAAGUGAAAGAAGCCACACAGAGAAGGCCAUAUAUUUUAUGAUUUCAUUUAUUAGGAAUGUCCGGAAUACUGAAGCCCACUGACAGAAAGUAUAUUAGUGGUUACCAGCGGCUGGGGAAUGGGGAACGGUGAGUGACUGCUGAUGGGUAUGAAGUUUCUUUUAGGGGUGAGGAAAAUGUUCUGGAAUUAGUGAGGAUUGAGGCAAGAAUUUGCAAAUAUAUUAGAGACCACUGACUUGUACAUUUUAACAGGGUGAACAUCAUGGUAUGUGCAUUGUCUCUCAAUAGCAAUGUUAUUUUACAAAAGAAAAAAUAAUGCUGUGGAGAGUGUAAAUCCCUCCGUGUAUUCAAAAAAUACCAAUGGACCGGCCACCAUUUGAUAUUUCUAGGGACUAGGGACCAACAGUUGAACACAAAUUCUUUCCCUUGUAGGCCAUAUAUUCUGGUAUUAGACGAAAAGCAAUACGGUAGUUUUUUGUAGUAAUAUCUCUGAAUAAUAUCUUAAGAAGAUAAGCACACUCGAGACUAUCAAAUAAUUUGUUUUCCGGCUUCCUAAUUGCCCUUCACAUAUGAUCUAGUCUGUUGUUUCUGCCCAUUAGGGUCCCAAAAGCAACAAGUAAACUUUUCUCAAAACAAACACAACGAUGAAGCUUUACUCAGAAUUGCCAAAACUUCGAAGGAACCAAGAUGUCCUUCAGUAGGUGAAUGGAUGAAUAAGCUGUGGUACAUGCAGACAGUGAAAUCUUAUUUAGCAUUAAAAAGAAAUGAGCUAUCAAACCAUGAAAAGACAUGGAAGAACCUUAAAUGCAUUAAUACUAAGUGAAAGAAGCCCACUUGAAAAGGCUCCAUCCUGUAGGAUUCCAACCAUAGGAUAUUCUGGAAAAGACAAAAUUAUGGAGACGUAAAAAGAUCAGUGGUUGCCAAGGGUUGGGGGUCAUCCGGGGAGGAUGAGUAGGGGGAGCGCAGGAUUUUUAGGGCAGUGCGACUACUCUGUAUGACACCAUGAUGGUGGCCGCAAGGCAGUAUAUGGUUGUUCACAUCCAUAGAAUAUACAACAGCAAGAGUCCCCUGGUUACUUCUCCAAACGCCUGUGGAGUCUCUCUCCUCCUCACGCCUGACAUCCAGCCACAUGGCCUCUUCUAGAAAACGUGAAACCCUCCUAACUCAGGAUCUUUGCCCAGAACCUUUCAUCUGGCUUGUUCAUGUUUAUCCUUCAGGUUCAGCUUUCAUGUCGGUCUCUUGGAGUAGACUUUUUUGACCUCACAGCCUAGAUCUGAAUCCAUUGUAUUCUCUCCUUGUACCGUGUCCCUUACAUGGACGCACUUGCCACCAUCUGUGUAUUUAUUCAUUUACGGUCUGGGCCCUCAGUUGGGUGGCCAAUUUCCUGAGCGCAAGGAGGGCGUCUGCCUUGAGCACUGAUGUAUUCCCAGCACAUAGCCCAGGGCCCAGCUGGGGUAGGUGCUCAGUUGGCCUGUUGACUGCGUGAAUAAAUGAAUGGACUCUGUGAGGUUGAUGUUAUUAGCUCAGAGUACUUUAGCCAUUUACCUGCUGCCACACAGCUAGCAAGUGGACAGAAAUGAAGGAGACCUCAGAAGGAUAGUUCCUAGGUGACUCUACCAGCUGGGAAAGUAUUUGCUAAGAAAGGAGUGGGGGGGAGGCAUGGAGCGGGCGGGGUAGAAGAUUCCAGACCAGUGACUCAGGGAGAUGGUCCCAGGUGUGGGGGGGAUGGGGUGAGAGUGUGCAAGCUGCGUAUUCAGUAUUUUACUGUUGUUGAAAAAAUAUCUUCUAUUUUCAUAAAACAGACUGCUGAGACUAUCCCUUUCCUGGCUGGGAAGGAAAAUAGGAAAUACGGCGCUUUUUCUCUAAAAGGGCAGAUUUUUUGGUUGCCCGGAUGGAAGCAGGUUUCAUGGGGAUGGAGAACCCGCCGCCCAAGGGCUUUCCAGCCUUUCCCGAAGCAGAGCCGAGGGCUGCGGGGCACAGGACCACUCGCAGGGGGAAAGUAGGGCUUGGUGACACGGCACCCCCCAAGCUUCAUGCUCCCAGAACCCCCAUGUCCCAGAUGGCCUGCCCUUCACGCCCUCCGGUCUGCCUGUUACUUGGACACCGGGCACCCCUCCAAUCACAGCCCCCCCAUUUCACCCUGCGUCACCCCCACGGGCUUCGCAUCCUCCCACCGCCUGGACUAGGCUGCUUGUCAUGCUCUCUGCUGGGCAGUGAGAGCCUGUGCUUCCCAGUGAGACUAGUUUAAACGGCCCCGUGGCUGUCUGUGAGCGGCAGGCUGGUUAUUCUCCUGAAUCAGAUCGGGGGGACCUGGCGAUCCGGGGGGAGAAGCCGGCGUGGUGUGGAGUAAGGACAGCAGUGGGCAUUGUGUUUGCAUACAUGGCUUUGGUUUCUCUCUGUGGCUUGGAUCGUGGGCUGUGUUGUUUCGGCAUGUAGUGGUUUUUUUGUCCGUCUGCUUGUUAAUAUAUAGGUUAAAAAUAGUCUUUCUGGGAGAAGACCCUUAUUUUUCUAGAGCGAUUUGACACAUUUUUGGUGAGAUGCAUUAACAUUCCCUUUUCAAAGGACUGAUGGGAAGGGAAGAAUGGGAGCAACUUCAUAUGCCAAAGAAAGCGAAUAAGGUGUAAAGUGACUGUUUAUCAACAUUUAAGUCCCCACGUGCCAGUUUUUUGUUUUUGUUUUUAAGAACUUCACUAGGAAUGAAAUGACUAAGUCAAAGAAUGUUAAAGCUGGGAGGAACUUGCGAAAAGAAACCAGCUUCUCAUUAUUAUAUAUAUGGAACAGGAGGCCCAGAGAGGGUAAGUGACUUGUCCAAAGUCACGGAGCACUUGAGUGCGGUUGGGGCUGAUUUCUAGUCUGGAGCUCAAGUGGGAAGCGGUAUCUCUCUGUGAAAGGAAAGUAGUGUGAUUUUUAAAGAUUUUAUUCUAUUUUUUGUUAGAUGGUUGUUGUAAGAGAAGUUGGGAGAACUUAAUGUUUUAAUUUACCUGGAGUCCUACCACUUCAAAAUGAUCAUUGUUAGUAUUUUUGCUACAUUAGUUUCCAGACCCCCUCUUAAUGUGUAUGUAUCCUGGCAGAAAUGCUGUAUUUAUUAAAAUUGGGUCACACUGGGCAUACUGCGCUGCAAUGUAAUUCGUAACAGAUGCUUACCUAUUGUAUUGAGUGGAUGUACCUUCAUUAAUUUAAUCAGUCCCUUAGGAUAGACAUACAAGCUUUUUCAGAUGUUAAGCUCUUAUAAAAGAUGCUGCAUUAAAGAUCCCUGUUUGUACAUCUU